rnacentral:rRNA from 1 species
UCGGGAAUAUUGCGCAAUGGAGGAAACUCUGACGCAGUGACGCCGCGUGCAGGAAGAAGGUUUUCGGAUUGUAAACUGCUUUAGACAGGGAAGAAAAAAGACAGUACCUGUAGAAUAAGCUCCGGCUAACUACGUGCCAGCAGCCGCGGUAAUACGUAGGGAGCAAGCGUUAUCCGGAUUUAUUGGGUGUAAAGGGUGCGUAGACGGAGAAGCAAGUUAGUUGUGAAAUCCCUCGGCUUAACUGAGGAACUGCAACUAAAACUACUUCCCUUGAGUGCUGGAGAGGAAAGUGGAAUUCCUAGU